rnacentral:rRNA from 1 species
GGGGAAUAUUGGACAAUGGGCGCAAGCCUGAUCCAGCAAUGCCGCGUGGAUGAAGAAGGUCUUCGGAUUGUAAAGUCCUUUCGGCGGGGACGAUGAUGACGGUACCCGCAGAAGAAGCCCCGGCUAACUUCGUGCCAGCAGCCGCGGUAAUACGAAGGGGGCUAGCGUUGCUCGGAAUGACUGGGCGUAAAGGGCGCGUAGGCGGUUUGGUCAGUUAGAUGUGAAAUUCCUGGGCUUAACCUGGGGGCUGCAUUUAAUACGGCCAGACUUGAGUGUGAAAGAGGGUCGUGGAAUUCCCAGUGUAGAGGUGAAAUUCGUAGAUAUUGGGAAGAACACCGGUGGCGAAGGCGGCGACCUGGUUCAUUACUGACGCUGAGGCGCGAAAGCGUGGGGAGCAAAC